rnacentral:rRNA from 1 species
UCGGGAAUUUUGGACAAUGGGCGCAAGCCUGAUCCAGCCAUGCCGCGUGCAGGAUGAAGGCCUUCGGGUUGUAAACUGCUUUUGUACGGAACGAAAAGACUCUGGUUAAUACCUGGGGUCCAUGACGGUACCGUAAGAAUAAGCACCGGCUAACUACGUGCCAGCAGCCGCGGUAAUACGUAGGGACCAAGCGUUGUUCGGAUUUACUGGGCGUAAAGGGCGCGUAGGCGGCAAUUCAAGUCAUCUGUGAAAUCUCCGGGCUUAACUCGGAACGGUCAGAUGAUACUGCUUUGCUAGAGUGCAGAAGGGGCAAUCGGAAUUCUUGGUGUAGCGGUGAAAUGCGUAGAUAUCAAGAGGAACACCUGAGGUGAAGACGGGUUGCUGGGCUGACACUGACGCUGAGGCGCGAAAGCCAGGGGAGCAAACGGGGAUUAGAUACCCUCGUAGUCCCUGAGCGGGCUGGCAAGGCGCAU